rnacentral:rRNA from 1 species
GUGGGGAAUCUUGCGCAAUGGGCGAAAGCCUGACGCAGCCAUGCCGCGUGAAUGAUGAAGGUCUUAGGAUUGUAAAAUUCUUUCACCGGGGACGAUAAUGACGGUACCCGGAGAAGAAGCUCCGGCUAACUUCGUGCCAGCAGCCGCGGUAAUACGAAGGGGGCUAGCGUUGCUCGGAAUUACUGGGCGUAAAGGGCGCGUAGGCGGACAGCUUAGUCAGAGGUGAAAGCCCAGGGCUCAACCUUGGAAUUGCCUUUGAUACUGGCUGUCUUGAGUUUGGGAGAGGUGAGUGGAACUCCGAGUGUAGAGGUGAAAUUCGUAGAUAUUCGGAAGAACACCAGUGGCGAAGGCGACUCACUGGCCCAAUACUAACGCUGAGGCGCGAAAGCGUGGGGAGCAAACAGGAUUAGAAACCCCGGUAGUCC